rnacentral:rRNA from 1 species
AGUGAACGCUGGCGGUAGGCCUAACACAUGCAAGUCGAACGGCAGCACAGUAAGAGCUUGCCCUUACGGGUGGCGAGUGGCGGACGGGUGAGGAAUACAUCGGAAUCUACUUUUUCGUGGGGGAUAACGUAGGGAAACUUACGCUAAUACCGCAUACGACCUACGGGUGAAAGCAGGGGAUCUUCGGACCUUGCGCGAUUGAAUGAGCCGAUGUCGGAUUAGCUAGUUGGCGGGGUAAAGGCCCACCAAGGCGACGAUCCGUAGCUGGUCUGAGAGGAUGAUCAGCCACACUGGAACUGAGACACGGUCCAGACUCCUACGGGAGGCAGCAGUGGGGAAUAUUGGACAAUGGGCGCAAGCUUGAUCCAGCCAUACCGCGUGGGUGAAGAAGGCCUUCGGGUUGUAAAGCCCUUUUGUUGGGAAAGAAAAGCAGCAGGUUAAUACCCCGCUGUUCUGACGGUACCCAAAGAAUAAGCACCGGCUAACUUCGUG